GGUUAAGCGACUAAGCGUACACGGUGGAUGCCCUGGCAGUCAGAGGCGAUGAAGGACGUGCUAAUCUGCGAAAAGCGUCGGUAAGGUGAUAUGAACCGUUAUAACCGGCGAUGUCCGAAUGGGGAAACCCAGUGCAAUUCGUUGCACUAUCGUUAACUGAAUACAUAGGUUAACGAGGCGAACCGGGGGAACUGAAACAUCUAAGUACCCCGAGGAAAAGAAAUCAACCGAGAUUCCCCCAGUAGCGGCGAGCGAACGGGGAGCAGCCCAGAGUCUGAAUCAGCUUGUGUGUUAGUGGAACGGUCUGGAAAGUCCGACGGUACAGGGUGAUAGUCCCGUACACCAAAAUGCACAGGUUGUGAACUCGAAGAGUAGGGCGGGACACGUGGUAUCCUGUCUGAAUAUGGGGGGACCAUCCUCCAAGGCUAAAUACUCCUGACUGACCGAUAGUGAACCAGUACCGUGAGGGAAAGGCGAAAAGAACCCCGGCGAGGGGAGUGAAAAAGAACCUGAAACCGUGUACGUACAAGCAGUGGGAGCACCUUUAUGGUGUGACUGCGUACCUUUUGUAUAAUGGGUCAGCGACUUAUAUUCUGUAGCAAGGUUAACCGUAUAGGGGAGCCGCAGGGAAACCGAGUCUUAACUGGGCGUUAAGUUGCAGGGUAUAGACCCGAAACCCGGUGAUCUAGCCAUGGGCAGGUUGAAGGUUGGGUAACACUAACUGGAGGACCGAACCGACUAAUGUUGAAAAAUUAGCGGAUGACUUGUGGCUGGGGGUGAAAGGCCAAUCAAACCGGGAGAUAGCUGGUUCUCCCCGAAAGCUAUUUAGGUAGCGCCUCGUGAAUUCAUCUUCGGGGGUAGAGCACUGUUUCGGCUAGGGGGUCAUCCCGACUUACCAACCCGAUGCAAACUACGAAUACCGAAGAAUGUUAUCACGGGAGACACACGGCGGGUGCUAACGUCCGUCGUGAAGAGGGAAACAACCCAGACCGCCAGCUAAGGUCCCAAAGUCAUGGUUAAGUGGGAAACGAUGUGGGAAGGCACAGACAGCCAGGAUGUUGGCUUAGAAGCAGCCAUCAUUUAAAGAAAGCGUAAUAGCUCACUGGUCGAGUCGGCCUGCGCGGAAGAUGUAACGGGGCUAAACCAUGCACCGAAGCUGCGGCAGCGACACUAUGUGUUGUUGGGUAGGGGAGCGUUCUGUAAGCCUGCGAAGGUGGCCUGUGAGGGGUGCUGGAGGUAUCAGAAGUGCGAAUGCUGACAUAAGUAACGAUAAAGCGGGUGAAAAGCCCGCUCGCCGGAAGACCAAGGGUUCCUGUCCAACGUUAAUCGGGGCAGGGUGAGUCGACCCCUAAGGCGAGGCCGAAAGGCGUAGUCGAUGGGAAACAGGUUAAUAUUCCUGUACUUGGUGUUACUGCGAAGGGGGGACGGAGAAGGCUAUGUUAGCCGGGCGACGGUUGUCCCGGUUUAAGCAUGUAGGCGGAGGUUCCAGGUAAAUCCGGUACCUUUUAACGCUGAGGUGUGAUGACGAGGCACUACGGUGCUGAAGUAACAAAUGCCCUGCUUCCAGGAAAAGCCUCUAAGCAUCAGGUAACAUUGAAUCGUACCCCAAACCGACACAGGUGGUCAGGUAGAGAAUACCAAGGCGCUUGAGAGAACUCGGGUGAAGGAACUAGGCAAAAUGGUGCCGUAACUUCGGGAGAAGGCACGCUGGUGUGUAGGUGAAGUCCCUGCGGACGGAGCUGAGACCAGUCGAAGAUACCAGCUGGCUGCAACUGUUUAUUAAAAACACAGCACUGUGCAAACACGAAAGUGGACGUAUACGGUGUGACGCCUGCCCGGUGCCGGAAGGUUAAUUGAUGGGGUUAUCCGUAAGGAGAAGCUCUUGAUCGAAGCCCCGGUAAACGGCGGCCGUAACUAUAACGGUCCUAAGGUAGCGAAAUUCCUUGUCGGGUAAGUUCCGACCUGCACGAAUGGCGUAAUGAUGGCCAGGCUGUCUCCACCCGAGACUCAGUGAAAUUGAACUCGCUGUGAAGAUGCAGUGUACCCGCGGCAAGACGGAAAGACCCCGUGAACCUUUACUAUAGCUUGACACUGAACAUUGAGCCUUGAUGUGUAGGAUAGGUGGGAGGCUUUGAAGCGUGGACGCCAGUCUGCGUGGAGCCAACCUUGAAAUACCACCCUUUAAUGUUUGAUGUUCUAACGUUGGCCCCUUAUCGGGGUUGCGGACAGUGUCUGGUGGGUAGUUUGACUGGGGCGGUCUCCUCCCAAAGAGUAACGGAGGAGCACGAAGGUUAGCUAAUCCUGGUCGGACAUCAGGAGGUUAGUGCAAUGGCAUAAGCUAGCUUGACUGCGAGCGUGACGGCGCGAGCAGGUGCGAAAGCAGGUCAUAGUGAUCCGGUGGUUCUGAAUGGAAGGGCCAUCGCUCAACGGAUAAAAGGUACUCCGGGGAUAACAGGCUGAUACCGCCCAAGAGUUCAUAUCGACGGCGGUGUUUGGCACCUCGAUGUCGGCUCAUCACAUCCUGGGGCUGAAGUAGGUCCCAAGGGUAUGGCUGUUCGCCAUUUAAAGUGGUACGCGAGCUGGGUUUAGAACGUCGUGAGACAGUUCGGUCCCUAUCUGCCGUGGGCGCUGGAGAAUUGAGGGGGGCUGCUCCUAGUACGAGAGGACCGGAGUGGACGCAUCACUGGUGUUCGGGUUGUCAUGCCAAUGGCACUGCCCGGUAGCUAAAUGCGGAAGAGAUAAGUGCUGAAAGCAUCUAAGCACGAAACUUGCCCCGAGAUGAGUUCUCCCUGAGACUUUAAGUCUCCUGAAGGAACGUUGAAGACGACGACGUUGAUAGGCCGGGUGUGUAAGCGCAGCGAUGCGUUGAGCUAACCGGUACUAAUGAACCGUGAGGCUUAACCUU
rnacentral:rRNA from 1 species